rnacentral:lncRNA from 1 species
UCAGUGAGACUGUUCCCUGUAUUAAUCACUGUAUCUGCAUUCAAUAUUGUUUAACGAAGGAUAGAGUCAUCUUUCAAAGGAAAUUUUUAACUAUUCUUCACCAUAAUGAUAAGAAUUACACAAAUCAUAUGCGUUGCUUUGAUGUUGUCUCCUACGGUGGUGUCCUCGGAAGUACUUUGGUUACAGUGAGUGUGUCUACAUCAAGUACAAGGCGGUCUGUCUUGGAGAGUUCGAAGCUGUAUCCUAUACAAAUAGAAGACUUUCAACUUUUCCUAGAAUAUCAAGCAGGAAAACAUGUGUUCAUCUUCA